GUAAAAUGACACUAGGAAAAUUGAAGUUGAACGUAGUCAAAAAAGAUCAAUCGUAACAUAUUAACGUAGAAGGCAAGGGCGAAUCCACGUAAAGACUAUUUUUUCCUCUUGGUUUCUUGCCUUACUUCUAGGUUUCUAUUUUUGCACCUCAUAUCUUCCCCUCUUCUAGGCUUCUAUUUCCACCACCUAAUUCUAGGCUUUCUGUUUUCUUUCCCUACUUCUAAGCUUCUAAUUCCCUCUUUAAUAUUUUGUCUGUCUCUAAUUAUUUGUUAAUUUUUUUUUUAGUUGUACUCACUUUGUUGCUUGUCCAUUUUGCCAAAUCAAGAAACGACAAUUUUUUUUACCUAUUAUACAUUUCAUUAAUGGUAUAUUUAUAUAAAGGACGCCCUGAAACCGGUGACGUGGCGCCACCACAAGCCUUUAUUCUCCUUCUAAUUUUAAAAUUCCUAAAAUACCCUCCAUAAUUCUCCUUCAAUUCCCAAAAAAACCUCCCCCUCCAAACAGUCGUAUCCCUAACUAAACAACAUCUCCAUUGCCUUACCAACGUGCCUCUUCCAUACCGUCACCAUAUUAUUGUAUAAUACUCCUAAAUCAAUACUCACAUCUUACAUUGUUGUAACUCUGCCUACACAGAACCUUCAAUUCCCACCGUUGCUUCCUACUGCUACACUCAUUCCCCCCCUUAUGCUAAUAUGCAUGCACUAUCACUGCCUGAUUCUGAAUACAACAAGGAUUUCAAUCAAACCCCAGUCAGAUCAGCUAAACAUUGUUACAUUUUUCAUUCUUGCUUUACAUUCGCCAUAGCAUUUCUCGGUCUACUUAUAUGGAUGCAAAUGUACUGCCUGCUUCUAAGGACUCAAAGGAUUUAAAAAGCAAACCCCCGCCCAAUACAGUUUGUCACCCACCAUGACGCCCGCUAUUGACGCAAAUAAACUAUCUGGUCUGGACCCAAUGGAACAUACAAAAAGACCCUGGCCACCCCAGGUAUACAUACAUAAGUUUAACCGUUGCAUCAUUAAUUGGACGUUUCACCCUCACACCCUUCUCUUGAAUUUCAUUAUCCCUUAAAUCAUAAACAACUUUCUCAAAUCUAUAUAUACAUAGGCAUAUAACGAAUGUUGAAGAAACUAUAUCCAGUCCUUCAAUUCUAACCACUCAUACAGUAUUGUCAGGUAACUCCCAUAUUAUAACUUCUGCUUCUUUAUUUCUGGUUACAGUUAAUAUUUUCUCCUUCUUACUUCUUAAAAAGAACUACCUCCACAUCCUAUUGAAUGGGCAUACACGCACCUAUCAAAAUUGAGAAUCAAUUACUUGCGGCGAUAACACUCUCACACAAGGGCCUUCAUUCAGGAUUCUUUAUAAUAUUAUUUUAUUACCAAAAAUAACCUUCUUCUCGCAUGAAAAGUUGUGAUUUUUUUUUAUGUAACGUUACGAUUUUAAUGAAAAGUUAUGACUUUUUUGAAACAUCGUGACUUUAAUGAAAAGUCGCAACUUUUAUGAUAAGUUGCGACUUUUAUGAAAAGUUACAACUUUUAUGAAAAGUUGCUACUUUGAUGAAGAGUUGCGAUUUUUAUGAAAGGCCGUGAUCUUUCCAAAGAAUUACAACUUUUCCAAAUAGUUGUAACCUUUCUGAUAAGGCGCAAUAAAUAUUUUUUUUACACUUCCCUUUGUUGUCUAUAAAUAGAAAAAUUUCCUCUCGUUUUUUAACUACGAAGAUUCUGAACCUCCUCUUCUUCUUCUCCUCCUCCUUCACAAUUAUAUAUUUGUGUAUUUUGGACCUGUUGAAUAGCUCACUAACAGCAUUGCUUAUGAUACAUAUCCUGGUAUGUAUUUUUACAAUAAUUAAUUUAUUCAUAAUUUAUUAUGGAUAAAUGAUAAGAUGUAAUAAUUUUUUCA